UUUAGGUCAAUUGAAUUCUUGGGCAAGCAUCCACGAUCCGUGGGCCAGAAGUCCAUACCCCGGGUAUUUUCCCAAAUCAACUCUGUCAAAACCCUAAUAAACCGUUUCUCGUGGCGGGUCGCAUCGCCAUUUGUAUCCAUCCGAGUAAGGGUACAUUCAUCGGACCAGUUCUUCCUUCAGUUUUAGCAGUGGCUUCCAUACCGAAUCUAGGCUCUUCCUUUGGUGAUCAAAUAAGAAUCGCUUAUUACACUAGCGUGUUUUUUAUAAAGGAGAUAAACUAGUGUUACUCUACAAGGAGAUUACACAGGCAAAUAUGGACUUCUUAGUUUCCUGGUUGGGCAAUAUGCAAAACAGGAGAUCAUGGAUAUGGAAUAAAAAAAGUAAUUUGGAUAAGAGUAUCUAGAAGCAUAGAUAUUGCUUUUAAAGUACACAAAUAUUCAGCUGAUAACAAUCAAAUGGCCCCUCGAGGUAUGAGUAGUGUGUGCUCAUUUCCUAUACAAAGACCUUGAGGACAUGCAACAAGUGGGCAGUAAGACUGGCAGGUCUCUUGGUCAAAUGUCUCUCCAACUCUUUUACGCCAAGUAUUAUCAUAUUGAUGGUAAUUUGUGACCCCUCAGUGGUCGUAAUUAUUUACAUUAGGGUGUAAAAGGUACUCUAUUGAUCUAUUUUCUUGUGAAUUUGUAUUCCUGAUGUUUGGCACUUUUAGGAUAAUGGUAGCUGGUCAGUUCCAUUCAUUACUAUUGUAAUUCUCAAUGACUAUCGACUUGACUUGUACGGUCACACUUAUUAGGCACUUGUAUGAGAGAGAUUAAUUCAACCAUAAUCCAUGUAGAAGGCUGCUAUAAUCUGUCAAUCUGAAACAAGGAUUGGGAGAAUCACAUUUCUAGAGAUCACACAAUUUAUAUUGGUAUCAAAAAGAGUAAAAGAAAGAUGUAGAAAUGGUAGUUUAUUAAUUCAGCAAUGUGUAUGCAGUUAUAAAGAAGGGAGGGUAUGAUAGGAUUUGCAUGCGGUUUUCUCCCACAUCGUCUGCAAAGCAAAAAACCGUUCUUUUGUUAAUCUAUUUAGCGGUCUCUACUUAUGAACUUCAACACAGCUAUGGGGCCCGCCUAAGUGCGGGCCCUUGAUGGCUCACAUUACCUUGUUGGAAGGUCCUUCCAAUGAGUUGCAGUAUGCUGCAAAUCUUGUCUGCGCGUUUGCUGGAAAGUAGGGAUCCAGGUAAUGUAACUUCUCCCUCAAGCCCUUGUUCCAUUAUAUUAGUUUUGUCCUUUUUCUGGUUUUCAUUUUCUUUGAUUUUUAUGAUAAUUGUUCAUCCUUCACUUUAUAUCCUUGGUAUAUGCCUAUAAGUUUCCUUUCUUUCUGUCUCUUACCUUUGGGCGUUAUGUUUUUCUUAUUUUUGUUGAAAUACAUUUGGAAAGAAAGAGAACUAAAUUAAGUAUAAGCUCUUAACACAUAUGAAGUUUCUCGUUCUUCUUUCAGAUUUACCAGUUUCAAUAAAAGCUUUUGGUUCUUAUUUUCCCUUCUUGUGCAUCUAUUUUGAACGUCUUCAUUCUUUUAGUUCCAGUACGACAUCUAUCUUAAACCUCAGUUAAAAAGCUUCAUCUGAACAAGAACAGAAAAGGCAUGUACUGACUAAUUGAACGGUUUUGUUGACCCAAAUAUUAGAAGUUUUCACUGGUUCUGCUCUCAAUCUGGGUUUAUCUUGAAUGAUUUGGAUAGUCGGUGAAUGUUUGAUGGUAUAUGGAUUUGUUUCUUCGCUGAUUUUAAAUGAUAAGAUUCUUGUUUCUUGUUCUGAGAAUCUUGGAUAAGAUCUCAAAGCUAAUCCUAUGGCGGUGUUCUAAAUUUCUCUUUUAGAUGUUUAACAUAGUUGACAUUUUUAAAUACAACAUAGCUAGCAAAAAGAACAUGCUUUAUACCUGCUGACAUCGGCUCAUCUGACUUAUUAUUUGCCAAUUUUCCUAUUUUUUCCUGUUAUAAAAUAUUAAUUGGUUUUUACCUCAUAUAAAUAACAUCUAGUUUUUUAAUCCUUCAAAGAUGAUUGACUGAAAUCCAGAUUGGUUAAUUCUAAUACCGAAAGGAACUUGUCUCCUGGAUAUAAGCAGUGAUUCUUCAUAAAUUUUCUGAUUUAUCAUGUCUGCUAACCUUAAAGGUCUGACAACGCAAAUGUAGAAAAUAAUUAUUUUUUGGCCACAUUUGUCCUUAGUGUCCUUCAACAUUGUCAUCCUGUCAUUCAGCCUGGAUUGGUAUGAAAUUUGUUGCAGCAGCCUCUUCACAAAAUUCUGUUUACCACACCCCUUGAUGACAAUGUGUGACGAUGUAAAGUUAUAGUAUAUCGGUUAUUAACAUGUCUCAGAUUCGAAAUAGUUUUGUCUUUAAUUCCAUUAAUGAACUCUGUAUACCACAAGUUUACCAAAUAUUAGAGAACGACACUAUCCAUACAGCCGGAACCUCAUGGAUGCACAAAGUUAGAAACACAAUGCAUUCCUCAUAUGUGCAAAGUCAGUUUUUACAUCAUUUAAGCUCUCAUAUACCUGUUUCCUAUAGAUCCACAUUAGUGCUAAUGAAGAACAUCCCAGCUGUGUGCUUGGCAUCAUUCACUGUAAUCUGGACUAAUUUGACACUCCCACCACAGCUGUGUUGCCUAUUGCAAUGUAACAGGAAGUAGCACAUUUCACAUGAAGCACCAGCAGACAAUUGACUUGUGUGAUCCUUUGCUUUCUCAGGUUCCUGGCUGUCAGCACCCCUCCCCAUCUGCGAUCCAAGCAAUUAAACACACCUUUCUUGGUGCUAUCCCACCUGUGACUCAAGCAAUCAAACAAACCCUUCUUCUUGUUGCCUGAGUUACAAAUCCAGGCUAUUAGACAACCACUAUUGGUGCUCGAGGUAUCCCAUCUGUGAAUCGAGCAAUUAAACACACCUUUCUUGGUGCUAUCCCACCUGUGAUUCAAGCAAUCAAACAAACCUUCUUGGUGCUGCCCGAGUGACAAAUCCAAGCUAUUAAACAACCUUUCUUGGUGCUCAAGGUAUACCAUCUGGGAAUCAAGCAAUUAAACACACCUUUCUUGGUGCUCAAGGAAGUAGUCCACACUAUCAACCGUGCAUUUGCACAUGAAGCACCAUGCGUCAGCUGACAGAUGUGAUCCUUCACGCUCUCAUGUUCUCGGCUGUCAGCAUUGGACCCAAGUUGCGACCCAAGGAAGUAGCCUACAUUCUCAACUGUGAUUUUGCACAUGAAGCACCAGGUGAAAGCUGACACAUUCUGAUCCUUCGUGUUCUCGGCUGUCAGCACUGGACUGAAGCUGCAGACCAAGCUAAUAAACACACCUUUCACGGCGUUUGCUUAGGUUGGAACAAGCAUUGUUCUUCAUUUAUCACCCUACUUUGUGGGAUUAUAUUUGGAAGCAGUCCACAUUGUCAAUUGUGCAAUUGCACAUGAAGCACCAAGUAACAGCUGUAUAUGUGAUCCUUCGCAUACUCAUCUUCUCGGACAAGUCGUGGUAUAAAUGAGAGGACUUUUUCCUGGAGCCUGGUCAGUAAUACUGGAUUAGGCUGAAUUGGCAAUUAUCCAGGCUGUGGUUGCGAACUUGCUUUCUGUAAGCAAGAUUCCGAUGGAUAAACUUACUGCAGUUGUAAAAGGUAUUGAAAUUAGAACCUCAGAUUGGCGGAGUCUCUUAUCAAUCAGUGAUUUUAAGGCCCGUUUGGGAGUCAAAAAGUCCAAUGAACAACUAUGAUCCUUUCCUGAGCAAGUUGGGUUAGUUACAUAAAUCUUCACCGUGCAGGUUGAUUUAAACCCCCCUUGAUCUGAUCUAAUAUUAGUAAAAAAAAAUAGUAGCUUUGAUUUAAUCGAAGCAGUGUUACUUCAAUCAAUGGAAAAAUCUAUCAAGAAAUAAAAGAAGAGAAAUAAAGUUGCUUUUUUUCUUCUUCCGA